AUGCGACCCCAGGAUGGGCGAGGCCACCCGCCGAGUUUAAGCAUAUCAAUAAGCGGAGGAGAAGAAACUUACGAGGAUUCCCC
rnacentral:rRNA from 1 species